rnacentral:tRNA from 1 species
AUUUAAAUAGUUUAAUUAAAACAUUGAUUUGUGGAAUCAAAAAUAUAAUUAUAAAUAUUAUUUUAGAUA